rnacentral:rRNA from 1 species
UACGAAGGGGGCUAGCGUUGCUCGGAAUCACUGGGCGUAAAGGGCGCGUAGGCGGCCAUUCAAGUCGGAGGUGAAAGCCCAGGGCUCAACCCUGGAAUUGCCUUCGAUACUGUCUGGCUAGAGACCGGAAGAGGUAAGUGGAACUGCGAGUGUAGAGGUGAAAUUCGUAGAUAUUCGCAAGAACACCAGUGGCGAAGGCGGCUUACUGGUCCGGUUCUGACGCUGAGGCGCGAAAGCGUGGGGAUCAAACAGG